rnacentral:rRNA from 1 species
GGAGCAAAACUCAAAAACUUGUCUCAGUUCGGAUUGUAGGCUGAAACUCGCCUACAUGAAGCUGGAGUUGCUAGUAAUCGCGAAUCAGCACGUCGCGGUGAAUACGUUCCCGGGGCCUUGUACACACCGCCCGUCACACCAUGAGAGUUGGCAAUACCCAACGUACGUGAUCUAACCCGCAAGGGAGGAAGCGUCCUAAGGUAUGGUCAGCGAUUGGGGUGAAGUCGUAACAAGGUAGC